rnacentral:lncRNA from 1 species
AAGCAAGUUAUCAUUAUUGAUAGGCAUGCUCCAUUUUCUUUAGCUUUAAUCCCUGGUUGGUCUUGUUUGUCUGAUCCUUUCAGUUCUUCAGAUGUAGUUCCUCAGGUUAAAGACAGAUGUUUAUCUUCUGAUGUUUUUCAGGACCUCCUGUGGAAUCUGAGCAUGCUGACAUCACACAGGUGAGUUUUAGGAAUUGGGAGACACCUGAGCUUCAUCACAGCUUGAAUUGUAUCAGUCAGCUGGUUUGUUUUUCUGCAGGGCAACAACGUAUAUGAAGAGAUCAGAGAGGAGGACAGACAGAGCAGCUCACCUCCUGCAGGAGUGUUUUCAACAGAUGCUACACCAAAAGCCUCCAACCACAUGGAGAUGAAAACAAUAGACCUCCACAGCCUCUCCACCUCUCCUCAGAACAAAGUCCAUGCCAGCCCUGCCGACCACACCACAGAUGCUUCACCUCCUCAUCUGUCCAAAAACAUCAGUAGUGAUGCUGCUGAUGGAACCUUGGUGGCUAACAGAUGAACAGAAUCCAUACAACAGUAUAUUUUUCUGUUUAUGAUCAUCUUUACAACUUGCUGUCAAACAGUUACACUGAAAGUUGUUUUUAUUACAGCUACUUUUAAUUUAGUUUAACAGAUGGCAUGAUGGUAUGACUGACAGGCUGUUCCUGGAGCAAGAUCCUUAAAUGCAGUCAGCAAAAAGGCUCCAGGUGGCAAACUUCAUCUAUUUUAUGUUAGUGUGUCUUUUAAUCAAACCACUGGAACUCAGAUAAACUUCUGUGUCACCUGUUACUGUUGUCAUCAGUCAGACUGAAACAAACACAAUAAAAAGACUAAUGUAAAAAAAACUUUAGAAAUACCUACAAUUAUUAAUAUUUAACUUUACAGCAUUACAGUGCUCAAGUGCUCGAGUUUCAGUAGUGACUGGAUGAAGGUCUGAACACCAGAUUGAAGUUAUGAUGCACAAUUUAAAAGAAAAGUCUUAGACAUUUUCUCCAUUCAUUCCCUUCAACUUAACUAAAUCAGGGUCGCAAGAGGGCUGGAGCCUUUUUCUCGGCUGCCAUAAAGUGUGAGGCAGAGCACAACCUGGACAGGUGACCAGCCUGUCGCAGGGAUAACACAGAGAGACAGACAACCAUUCACACGUCUGUGUAGCUUCUCAGUCAUGCAGGUCAUUAUAAUCUAAGGAGCUCUGAAAGAAAGCAAUUGGACUUGUUUAAGUUUGGUGAUAAUGGUUCAUGUCUCAUCCGAGAGGCUUCUUCAGUUCUACAACCAGAUGACAGCUGACAUGACAGGCCUCUGCUCAUGAUUGUUUGUAGUUGUUUCAAUUUUGUCCUUUUACUUUGUCUGUGUAUGUGAAAGCUUAAAAUUCACUUGUGAUAAAAUCUGUUUUGUAAAUUAAUAUCUUGAACCAGUAAAACUUUUUAUUUAAAGAAAAAUAUUGUUUUUCUGUGUGUUCGUAUGCUUUCAUCCCCUGGGUGUUCUUUUGCUGUGUGUCAGUUUAAGAUUUUAAUUUCAAAAGUACUUAAUAACUGACUUUUUGUCUGUUUCUGAGUUUCCUACAUAUAUUUGUUUCAUCAAGCAAUUUUUUUUAAUAAAAGUCCCAAAAAUC